rnacentral:rRNA from 1 species
UACGUAGGGUGCGAGCGUUGUCCGGAAUUAUUGGGCGUAAAGGGCUCGUAGGCGGUCUGUCGCGUCUGCUGUGAAAACUCAGGGCUUAACCCUGAGCUUGCAGUGGGUACGGGCAGGCUUGAGUUCGGUAGGGGAGACUGGAAUUCCUGGUGUAGCGGUGAAAUGCGCAGAUAUCAGGAGGAACACCGGUGGCGAAGGCGGGUCUCUGGGCCGAUACUGACGCUGAGGAGCGAAAGCGUGGGGAGCGAACAGG